CACUCCUACGGGAGGCAGCAGUGGGGAAUAUCGCACAAUGGGCGCAAGCCUGAUGCAGCCAUGCCGCGUGUAUGAAGAAGGCCUUCGGGUUGUAAAGUACUUUCAGCGGGGAGGAAGGCGAUAAGGUUAAUAACCUUGUCGAUUGACGUUACCCGCAGAAGAAGCACCGGCUAACUCCGUGCCAGCAGCCGCGGUAAUACGGAGGGUGCAAGCGUUAAUCGGAAUUACUGGGCGUAAAGCGCACGCAGGCGGUCUGUCAAGUCGGAUGUGAAAUCCCCGGGCUCAACCUGGGAACUGCAUUCGAAACUGGCAGGCUAGAGUCUUGUAGAGGGGGGUAGAAUUCCAGGUGUAGCGGUGAAAUGCGUAGAGAUCUGGAGGAAUACCGGUGGCGAAGGCGGCCCCCUGGACAAAGACUGACGCUCAGGUGCGAAAGCGUGGGGAGCAAACAGGAUUAGAAACCCUGGUAGUCCCAUGAU
rnacentral:rRNA from 1 species